GGGGGCGACCUGGUUUCGACGUGGGUUGCAAAGCAGACGAGGGCAUGCCGGGAUCUCAGUCACCCCGUAAAACACUGAAACGCUAUAGUCGCAAACGACGAAACUUACGCCCUCGCAGCCUAAAAAACUGCCGGCCGCUGUACCGGUUCUCUGAUGGGCCGGGCGGGCAACCGCAACAGCGUCAUUUACAUCAGAUCGUCCAGGAUCGGGCUGCUUGAUCCCGGGUUAAAUCCAAGGCAGCUCGCUGGUAACAAGCCUGUCGGUUGGCGUGUUGACGGUUAAAUCCAGUUAAUCAGACUAAGCAUGUAGAACUUGCUGUAGAGGGCUUGCGGACGCGGGUUCAAUUCCCGCCGCCUCCACCA
rnacentral:tmRNA from 1 species